rnacentral:rRNA from 1 species
AGUGAACGCUGGCGGUAGGCCUAACACAUGCAAGUCGAACGGCAGCACAGUAAGAGCUUGCUCUUACGGGUGGCGAGUGGCGGACGGGUGAUGAAUACAUCGGAAUCUACUUUUUCGUUGGGGAUAACGUAGGGAAACUUACGCUAAUACCGCAUACGACCUACGGGUGAAAGCAGGGGAUCUUCGGACCUUGCGCGAUUGAAUGAGCCGAUGUCGGAUUAGCUAGUUGGCGGGGUAAAGGCCCACCAAGGCGACGAUCCGUAGCUGGUCUGAGAGGAUGAUCAGCCACACUGGAACUGAGACACGGUCCAGACUCCUACGGGAGGCAGCAGUGGGGAAUAUUGGACAAUGGGCGCAAGCCUGAUCCAGCCAUACCGCGUGGGUGAAGAAGGCCUUCGGGUUGUAAAGCCCUUUUGUUGGGAAAGAAAAGCAGCAGGUUAAUACCCCGCUGUUCUGACGGUACCAAAAGAAUAAGCACCGGCUAACUUCGUG